GCGGCGUCGUGGCGCGGGCAGAGCCUGGGCAGCCUGUACACGCACCUGCAGGGCUGCACGUGGCAGCUGAGCGCCCUGGCGGAGCAGCAGUGCCGCAUCCUGCAGCAGGACUGGAGCGACCUCAUGGCCGACCCUGCGGGCGUGCGGCGGGAAUACGAGCACUUCAAGCAGCACGAGCUGCUGAGCCAGGAGCAGAGCGUAAACCAGCUGGAGGACGACGGCGAGCACAUGGUGGAGCUGCGGCACCCCGCGGUGGGGCCCAUCCAGGAGCGCUGGGGGCAGGGCGAGAGUGAGAAGGGACGUGGUGGGCGG
rnacentral:lncRNA from 1 species